rnacentral:lncRNA from 11 species
UUGAAGUUUGAUGAUCGCUGGUCACGUGGCGCUGCAUGUAUAACGUUAUCGCUCUGCUGAGACAAAGAACAGCUAGUUUCAACGGAACGGACGGAUGAAAGAGACAAUUCGUGCUGACUGCGUUCCCAUUCGCCUUAAGCUUCGAGUGCUACCGUUUGACGACACGAGAUGGCGUCCCCACUUCGAAUUGGUCUUAUUUGCGAUACAUUGCUGAGAAACCGUGCUCUUGAAAAUAGCGUCAAGCUGAGCAAAUACAGUUAACGUAUGAGCAAAUGCGCCCCUCAGGGUACGCCCAGGGUAAUCUCAGAAACGCUCAUAAACGAAGAGCUUCAACGGGAGCUUAGCCAUGUCGCAUCUCAGCAUAAGCUCGGUUCGACAAACCGUAUACUUAUUCGUGUCUUCGAAGAAAGCGGACCAUUCUAAAUCUGCACGGGGGCUGGGGCUAUCUCGAAGAAAAAUAGAUGGAGAUCGAUCGAACGCAUGCCACUCUAAACACGAUGUAUAAGGAACAGCAUCGCGUCCAGUGGUAGAACAUCUGACGUAAACGUUCUUUUAGAUGCGAGUCUUAUCGAGUAAGCUGCCUGAUUGCGCUCUAUGGUACUUAAUUGUAUGAAGUGGCGUAAUCGGAAAAAGUAUUGCGAUAGACGUCUAUCAAACAUCUCACCGGAUGGGAGCCGUUGAAGAUGUUUACGUGUAACUUAAUGUAACUCACAUGACAAAUGAUCAGAUGUCGCGGAUAGUUAAAGGAGACGAUGACUAUUAUUUUAGAUUGUUUUAAGUACAAGUCAUUUUGCCAAAGGUAAGUUAACAGGUUUAUUUCAAAAGCCGCGAGUUUAGCGGCGAAUCGAGACUGUUCCCAGCCGCAACCAUCCUCACAUGGCCCGCACCUAGAGGAUCGUCCAACACAACUUGCAACAACUGCAAAGCAUUUCUCUUCCCUUGUAGAAAAGUAGGCUAGGCUUAAGCUUUAAAUUUAAAAAUUCGAGGCAGAGCUUCAGAAUAUAGCAAGUCUAAAAAAGGUCGCAUUUUUCGAAUUAACGUUAGGACUCAGGCCCUUGGCGAAGACGUUAUUCCAGCAUUGAAAGUGCUGCUAUUAAACGUACGCUUGCACUUAUGAUACCCUUAACGUUUAUGUACGGUAUUUGUCGCGCUUAUUGUUACAUUAGUUCGCCAAUCUGUAACCUGCAGCCUGUGAAAUCACAAAAAGCUGAUAAGCACCUUUGCUUACCAUUCUUGAUGGAAUUCGAUGUCGUUUUUUUUUAUUAUUUCUAUCUCGUAUUAAGCAGUCUUUACAUUUGCACGUCCACACAAAAGUAAUGAUUAAAUAGAUAAGAAAAGCCCUUCUUCUUGAACAGUAAUAUCCUACUAACAGUAAUAUCUUGCUCCUAUAUCGGCAUCUGACAGACUUACUUCCGAAGAAACUUCCUUUGUUAGCAUGAAAACCUGUUUGUGAUCGAAUGUCGUCUUAACAAACUUCUGCUGUUCAUUCGAGUUGUUUGUGUCCAGUUUUUGGGGGAACGAAUGACAGCCUUUGUAGUUGACCCAGAUGUUGAACAAAGUAGCUUUAGAAGAUCCUAGUUUUGUUCAAACGCGAAAAACGCUAGUAGAUAGAAGUCUGCAUCAUAAGCAUAGCGAAAUCAAUAUUUGUAUAUACAUGUGAUAAUGGCAGAGUCCAAGCGAUCUAGUCAAGCGUUUUCCAGGACAACCACGCUCGAUCAUGUUGUCACGCGCAAUGAACGUCGCCUCUUCUCUUCAGCCUCACCCGUCGUCACUCUGGUCCAUGGUUACGUCCAUGACCAUUUCGCAUGGCCAAGUUUAGCCAGAGACCAGUUGAGACGUGCGCAGUCUGUUGGAUUGCCUGUCUAAUAUUCUUUGGCGCAGUUAUGGAGAUGUGCUGCCUAAACUAGCCAUUACGUGACGGUUGCCAUAAUAGAAGCGUAUCUUUUCCCCCACAGAAAGACGAAUUUCGGCAGUAGGCCCCAUCCCUGCUCGCCUUGUUGAAGCGUUCGUUUUUCAUCAGGACUAAGUUUCAGCAUAGUGACAAGCACCGG